CGCGGGGGCAACCCUGGCGGCGAGCGGCGAACGGGUGAGUAACACAUCGGAACGUGUCCCGUAGUGGGGGAUAGCCCGGCGAAAGCCGGAUUAAUACCGCAUAUGCUCUACGGAGGAAAGCGGGGGAUUCGCAAGAACCUCGCGCUAUGGGAGCGGCCGAUGUCCGAUUAGCUUGUUGGUGAGGUAAAGGCUCACCAAGGCGACGAUCGGUAGCUGGUCUGAGAGGAUGAUCAGCCACACUGGGACUGAGACACGGCCCAGACUCCUACGGGAGGCAGCAGUGGGGAAUUUUGGACAAUGGGGGAAACCCUGAUCCAGCCAUGCCGCGUGAGUGAAGAAGGCCUUCGGG
rnacentral:rRNA from 1 species